GCGGCACGAGCGCCCCAGAUUUGGGGAAAUAAGUCCCAGGAGCCUGGUCUGAGAGUCACAAAUAUUGUCAUGUCUCCUUCAAAGCAGUUACACACUUUGUGGUUUAUCUGUGGUUUAUCCUCCCACAAAUGGAGAUUGGAUAAGACUCAUCAGGAUGUGCUCUUAGUAUUUUCAUUCUUCCCCAGGGAGUGAAAAUUGAAAAGAUUUUCUUCCUAUAUUUGUAUUUCUAUCUUGGGUAAAAGAGUCAGUCGAAGUUGCAGUCUUUCUUUGAAGGUAAUCUUUGAAGGUAUGAAGAAGGCAAUCUUAA